CUGAGCCACAUUCUGGGUUGCUUGAGGGAGGAGUUAAAAGGUUGUGGUGACAAUUUUAUAGAAAAUAUGUUCCCCAUAUGAAGCAGUGCUGUCCCUUAAAAUGCACCAAAGCACCUGGAAGUGUCCGAGGGAGCAAAACCACAGCUGAGUGGCAGUGAAGCAACUCCUGAUGUGUGUCGGGGCACUGGAAGGGUCCAAAAUGAGAACAUGAGGAGGUCUGGAGCACAGAUCUUCCCAGGAAUAACCCCGUGGAACAUGAGUCACUGCAGGAACCAGUGCCUGGGCGAGGUGGGCUCCUGGCUUAUAAAUGGCACAAUUGUAGAUACAGGAGUGCAAGGGCUGCUCUGCUUGGAAAGCUGGCUGGAAAAUAGCACUCAUGAGUGAUGGACCAGUCACUCCGAGAGUCCCGUAAAUACUUUCCCAUCUCUGGUUAUGAUCUGCAGAGCCGAGCACAGGAGCUCUUUGUGCUCUCUGCGCUUACACCAUUUCAUUGAUUCCGCCU